rnacentral:lncRNA from 1 species
AAAAGAAAGGAGUAUCACAUUAACAUAAUUUCGACAUGGAACGAACACUCUGCUUAACUGAGGACAAAGACAAUUGUCCUCUAAAUUUGUGGAAGAAAUAAUAUGCAUAUAAACAGCAGCAUAUCCAUGAAAUCCUAGUAGUAGUAGUAAACAUCAUUUACUACCAGUCCAGGAUAUCAGGAAGACGACGCUAAAUCUCUUUUAUUCUCACAAGCCAAGCAAACAAAACUAAAGGAUUCUAAGACAGAUCUACAAAGCCCAAAAAAGACAAAGCAGUCCCAAAUACAUAUUCGUGCGUAGACUUUUAUUCGAUCCCCCAUUUAGCCAAAAAAGUUGAAAGAGACUUUAUUCGAUCCCAAGCUGCUUCUUCAAGGACACAACAAAUUCGUAAACCUUGUGAGGAUCAGCAAGGGACUUGGACACAGUCUCCCUCUGCAUGCAUCUUUUGGCCCAUUCCACCAGCUUUGGACACUCCGUUUCUGUCUUGAAAUUCCCGAAGGUCUCAUAGGCAUAGAACCAACAGUAGAAAGGAAUCAAAGCCACAUCCACAUAUCCAAAGUUUUCCCCUCCAAAGUAAGGCUUAUUUCCAAGUUCUCCUUCCAAUGUUUUCAGAAUCUCUAUGAAUUCCUUCUUGGCAGCCUCCUUUUCUUCUCCCUUUGUGGCCCAGAUCCUCCUUGCAGAAUCAUAAAGCUGCAUUUCACCUUAAUUAUCUCAGAAAAAAAUUGAACAGAAAAAUCCCUCCUUAACAUAAUAUUUUUAUCCCAUAUCUAACUUGUCAUGCUUGCUUAUGUUGUUUGCCUAAAAUAAUCUAGUGAAAAUAGGUUAAGAAAUGCUUAGUUCCACGACUAGACGAUCUUGGUAAAGACAGUGGAAAUACAUGCCCGAACAACUGAUUGAAUAUCAGUUGACAAAAUUAGAGUUUCCAUAAGAAAAAAAUGUUACCUUUUUGUCAACGAGGUCGGCCCAGAACCUGGCUUGAGCUCUCUGGUAAGGAUCAGAUGGGAGCAAGGGAUUCUUGUCAUGCCACACUUCAUCUAUGUACUGAACAAUGAUAAGGGACUCGCAAAGAGGCUUUCCGUUAUGAAUCAUAACUGGGAUUUUCUUGUGAACAGGGUUCAUCUGAAGAAGAAGGGGGCUCUUGUUACCCAAGUCUUCUUCUUUGUAUUCAUACUCGAUGCCUUUCUCUCCCAGAGCAACCUGGACUCUCAUGCUAAACAUGCUCACAUAUGUACCAAACACAACCACCUUGUCACCAGCCAUAUUUUCAGAUGAUAUUCGACCAAAACAAAACAAAAAAAAAAACAAAGAAAGAACUUUUCGCUAGAGGAGAUGAAAAGAAAGCAGAAUGAUGGGCAAUGGUAGCAAUUUGUGAGCAACUAGCAGGUAUAAGAACCGGGGUCCUGCGUUUUAUAGUGAAUGAGUGGCUGGUGAUGGCAGCAUGAAGGAAUGGUUGGUAAGUGGUUGAUUGUAGCAGGACAUUUGGGUCCUCUACCCUUCAGCAAUUUAGGCCACAAGUCAAAAUGCAGGUUUUUUUUUUUUUCAAGCAGUAGGGAUAGGAUUUAAAGGCAAGGGAAGGAGAAUUAGAACCAUAAUUUCGAAAUCUUGAGAAAAUGAAGGAUCGCUUUUUCAUGUGCUAUUAAUUAGAUCUUUUUUGACUCUUUAAUUUUUUUUUUCAAGAUUCUUGAAAGCCACUGUAGGAAUUUACAACCUAUACUAGCACGUUUUUGUUUUGAUAUAUGCUCAAAUUUUUAGCAUAUAACUUAAGUUACUUGAUAAUAUUUUGAAUACAAAAUUAAGUUUCCUUUUUCAACUACUCACUAUAAAUUGAUAGAAAGUUCACAAGAUGAAUAAUGGGUGCUUAAUUGCUGUUCGCUCACAAUUUUGACCAAUUGCCACGUCUAAAUCCAGCAAGUGCUUAUCGCAUCUGUGUGAUCCGAUGAUUAUUUAAUUUUCUUUGAUUUAUAGGAUUCAGUUGCAUCUAUACCCCUUCUUCCAUAAUCGAUGUAUGACCAAAAAAAAAAAAAAUCACAACAUUGUCUCUACGACUAAAUAUUAAAACCCGUUCCACUUGUUAUUUUUAAAAUUUCUCUGAAUUUGAAUAAAUAUUUCGAGAUAAAUACAAUGCCAUUUGAAUGCAGAGUCACAGCUUUCGCAGUCAAAGUUCAAAAAAGAAUUGAUUAAAUCCCACUGCCGUCCCCAAUCAAAUCAAAGGUUGUAGAGGAUUGUGGUACUCAACAAAUAAAUAUUACUAGUACUAGAAUAUUCGUUGUCUAGAACUUGUUCUAGGAUGCUUGUCUUGCUUUUUUUUUAGAGGUGGCAAUUUGUCCCAAGUUCCAGUGGGUCACCCAUGCCCAUAGGGACUUUGGGCGGGAUGGGUACUGGAAUUUGAUAUUGGGUUUAAAAUGGAACAAAUCCCAAUUGUACCCAUUAAUUGAUGGAAAAUUUUGGAAAAUACUUGGGUACCCAUUGGGCUCAAAUAGCAAGGGCUCUGUUUGGAUUAGUUAUUUUUUUGGGUGUUUUUGAAAUAUUUUAUUGUCGCAGUGUAUAUGAAAAAUUUUUACUAUAAUUUUUUUUGAAAUAUUUGAUAUACUAAUAUGGAUGAGAUAUUUUUUGAGUUAUUGUAUAUUACUGUAACAUUGUAUUUGAAAAAUUUGUUUUUUGAAAAUAUAGCCAAUCCAAACGGAGUCUUAGAUUCAAAAAUUAUCUUUAACAAUUUUUAUAGUCAUACCAGCGAAUAUAAUCUAGCAAUCUUCCUAGUCAUUAUCCACAAGAAUUUCCAGCAUUUCAGUCAGUUUAGACCUGUCAUCCUUGGACAAUGAUGAGGAUAAAUAUUCGACACCCUAAGUGCCUUUGCCAUCUUGAUAUAUGUUGGAAUAUGGCUGUAUUAUAUCUAUCCUUUCCUUUAUUUGUUAAUCCAAUUUUUGGUGGGAAUCCUGAGUAUAAAGCACUUGCAUGUUUAUUUAAUAAAACUAAAAGAAAUUUAAUAAAUCAAAAAUCUUAAAGUUAUAUAAAAAAUAAAAAAUGAAUUAAAGGAAAAAUAUAUAUAGAAAAUUUGGGUAUUGGGCGGGAUCAAUCUAAACCCAUCCCAAAGUGAUCCCGCCCAAGUUAGUCCCAAAACACAUAUGGGUAAGGUUGGGCCCAAACCCAUAUGACUCGGUUCCAUCUUAAACCCAAGCAAAUCCCGCCCAUCCCGCCCAUUUUGCCACCUCUACUUUUUUUGUUCCUCCUAAUCACCCAAAAUUACGCGACAAUUAUCUUCUCCAUUAAUGAAUCAGAAGAUUCUGGUAAUUGUGAGUAAAAUUAUUCCCAUUACCAGUUUUUUCAAACCAAAUCAGCGCCCUGGUGGAAAUUAAGCUGCUAAAUAUUAAAAGACUAACUAAGAAAUUGAGGAAGAAAAACUUCGGUCCACGAAAAAGGUUAUGGUCUCUUUUUCUUGAUUGUCUACGUAGUAGCUGCUGCUGGUGGUCCCUAAUUAUUGGGUUCCCAAGUUUUUAGCUAAGUGCUUACGCAUAGUCUUGAGGAAUUUGACGUCACUCCUUAAGUAAUCACAUUCAAGCUUUUAUCUUUCCCCCCCUCUCUCUCUCUCUCUCUCUCACGCACCUUUUUCUUCCUGAUUUGCACAUUAUUUAAGUUCAAUAUGAAAAAAAAUACGAAAAUGGACAAUUCAACUAAACCAAGAAAACAAGAAAAGAGUACCCCACCACAUGUUAUGUUUAAACUGGUCCGUACAAUGGACCCUAGAAUUAAUUUUUUAUAUAUUGUUAAUGUAUAAUUAUUUUUACACCAACAAAUUUACAUCAUGUUACAUAAUAUAAAUUUAAAUUUAAAUUUACACUGUUAGCACGUAAAAAUUUAAUUCUAUAUAUGCUCAAAUUCAAUCAUUUAGCUCUAGUUCUACCCCUUCUACAUGGAUGAAAGUAACUCGAUUGUAAGGGUCAAAAUUGUGUUAACGUAUCAAAAGGUUGAGUUAUGUAUAUAUUUUAAAAAUCAUAAGAGGGUUAUAUGAUAAAACAUUAAAUUAUAAGAGAGAUGUAUGGUAAAACAUAAACCAUACGGGGUUAGAGUAUCAUGCAUAUUAUGUUUAUAUAUUUUGAUCAUUUCAACCAUUUUAGUUUCUAAAUAAAGGUAAUUUCGACAUUUUGAUGGGUUUCGUUACAAAUAAUCAUAUUCAUUAUUUUAAUAAGUUAAUCCAAACUAUGAGGGAAUUGUAUAUAACUUUUAAAACUAUAGGGAAAUUGUGUAAAAGAUUACUAAAUUACAAAGGAGUAAAGAGUAUUUUGCCCUUAUUUUUAUGUUAACAAGUUUUUGGUCAUAUCACAUAAUAUAAAUCUAAAUUAAGCGGAAAUUAACACACACACACACCUAUAAUUAGACUAAACACACUGGAGUUAACGGAGAAAUCGCUCCGAAAGCAAUAUAAGGGGGACCCACAAAGAACCCACGUUCAGCCAAUUUGUGACAGAACGAGACCCCUAUGGACUUUAAACCCAGAAUAAAGACCCCACGAUCUUCCGAUGUGGGAUGGUUGCCCAAUCCCCCCCCCUUCGGUGCACGCACCCUCACUACAAGAAUGAGUUUGUUUUUUCCCGAAGCGGGAAUCAACACACACACACACCUAUAAUUAGACUAAACACACAGGAGUUAACGGAGAAAUCGGCCCGAAAGCAAUCUAAGGGGAACCCACAAAAAAUUCACGUUCAGCCAAUUGAUGACAAAAUGAGAUCCUUAUGAAAAUUAAAUCCAGAGUAACGACCCCACGAUCUUCCGACGUGAGAUGGUAAUUAGGUUUUGUUUGGAUUGGGUUUUAUUUCCCCAAAUUUAUUUGCUUACAUCAUCAUUACAAUUUUUAAUACACCUUUUUACCUUUUCAAUUAUCUUUUUAUCUCACAUACAUCACAUCACAAAAAGUGCUACAGUAAAAAUAUCUUUAAUAAUUCACAAUCCAAACAGAUGCUCAAAAGCCAUCAUUUAGCUCUAGCUCUACCCCACUACAGGGACGAAAGUAACUCGGUCAUAAGGGCCAGAACUAUAUGUUAACGUGUCAAAAGGUUGAAAGGGAUCUUGCUCGUUCUACAAGGAUCCCGCUCGAUCUCGAAUUCUCGAUCCACUAGUUUUUUCCUGUAAGAGACUGAAAUGACACCAUUAUGAGACCAUCGUAUCUACGUGGCUAUAUUAAAAGGCCGCACCUAUCAAAGUCAAAAAAGAAAACAGGGCAUUUUCUUCUCUGGAUUUCGAUAGGGAAAUAUGGCGGUAGAAAGACUGUUUCCCAUUUAGUAAUCCAAUUGACCUGGUGACCUUCAAAAUCAUGUUCAAAAGAAAUUAUGAAACAUAAUCCUUCACCCUUUCUUUUUCUUUCUCUACGAUUUUAUAGAAUUUUUGCCUUUUUUUUUUUAAGUUGAUGCUAACCUCUUCUACAUCCCACUUGGUCAGUAUUGCACAUUGCAAUUUGCAUCCAUCCAUUCUUGAAAUAUUUCAAGAGAUUUAAAACAGUUCUUGAAGGGGAUAUCCAAUGGUUAUUUUCUCCUCUUUGUAGUGGUUUGUCUCCCUCUAAUAAACUGAACCAAAUCAAUUGUUUUUAGCAGAAUUUGCACUAUGGACCUUUUCACGUAUGACUCAAAUGCAGGUAGCGAUAUUGGUUUCUAAAUACAAUUGACUCAUUCUAGAUUUGUCUAGACAUAAACAUUCAGACAACAAAUAUAUUUUGUCAUGUACAAAACCUUGAAAAUAGAUCAGAUUAUACAAUUGAACUUAUUCAGUUAAAAAAAAAAAAAAAAAAUCCCAAGUGUCUUAGUUUUUGCCUUUUAGGACUCUAAUAAAGAACUUGAAAUGCCCAGUAGGGUUCAUGAUCCAUGUGCACAAAUAAUUGCAAUUGUUGGCUGUGGACACUGUUCAUUAUGAAAUUCCUAUGUAGAUUAUUAAUCUUUGCUUUCUUUGUGCCUAUGAUGCCAAAUGAUUGCAGUUGUUUGCAAUGACGGAGCCAGGGGGCAGAGGGGGCCAUGGCCCCCCCUAAGUUUUGAGAAUUUUAAUUCAUAAUAUGUAAAUAUGUGUGUAAAAUAAAAUUGGCCCCCCCUAAAUUUUUUCAAUUUUAGUUUAUAUUAUGAGAGUUGAUAUAUAUAUAUAUAUAUAUGAAUUAGUCAUCUUUGAAUGGAAUUUCAAUUUUGGCCCUCCCAAAAAAAAAAUCCUGGCUCCGUCACUGAUUGAUUGUUAAACCCAUUUAGAAUAUGCCUGUCUCAUUUGAAUUGCAACUUUUUUAGAAUAUUUUUUUUUGAUACAUUCUUCUACUAGUAUCUUUUUACGUCGCAUACUCACGUCACUACAGUCAAUAUUUUUCAACAAUGUCACUCAAAAACUCCCAUCCAAACUGGUUCUUCUUAUACUUACAUUCCUUAUGAGGUUUUCAUAUUACACAAUAAUCAAAGUGUGUAAUAGAUGGUAUGUGCAUUGAACCUUAUUACCUAAUCUCGUGUUAUUGGAUGAAUUUAUUUUAUUUUGGCGGGCUAGUUAUAACUUGUGCAAGACUUUAGAGUUGAGUGUAAAGCAUUUUCAACCUUCUUUCACGAUCAUACGAGAAAUGUUUACCAUUCAAUCACGUAGAAAAUUUCCUCCAUAAGCAAUUCAGAGUUGGUCUCUAAUCUAUGUUGAAAAAGGUGCCCGAUUGGCCUCCAUAUUGACUUUCGUUCGCUCUCUCGAACGAAUUGAAUGGAGGAUGCUGAGCCCCGGUGAACAUUUACAGGUGAACGGAAGGAUUUAUAAUUGGAGAUUUGCACGAAUAAUUAAUCGCAGCUGGAGAAUGAGAAAAGAUACAGAGAGGACAGAUUUCCCUUCUUGUCAUCCAUCACUGAUACUUGUCUUACUAGUUUCGAACGGGUCCAAACAUUGACAUACGGUACUAACUGCUAACAGCUAAAGGCCGGGAUAUAUCAGCUUGCUAUCUCAAAGAAAUAUCAGCUUCAGUUAACAUCAACACAAGGUUGCAGAUUUCAACCUCUACUUCAGCAUUACAGCACCUGCUGGAACUGUUUCAUUGAAAGUUAAAACCUUUCUUAUUGAGGAAAAAAUCAUAAGUGCAAGCUAAAAAUACUCAAUUAUUUUUAACACGACAUGUUUACACCUAGAGGGUUUUUUUUUUUCUCUAAUAAGUGAGAGGUUUUGAAUUCAGAACUUUCUAUAUACAAUGCCUCUCAACUUACUACCCAACUAAACCCUCUCCCUCCAAGUUGCAUCUCUUCAACUUCACAUAAAGAGUGCUUAACUACAAAAAACCUAUGAGGGAAACUACUAUUCCAAUUACUGUUCUGUUGUUUCACUCCAGUUUGUGAAAUCAUUAAUUGUGAUUUCUCUCCGUAUUUCGGAUAAUUAUGUGAUUGUUCAUAAUCACCAAUAUAUGGUUGUCGUUUCAAAAUCACAUAUCUAAACCUAAUCAUUAUUGUAGGGUAAAAUAACUUUAAAAAGACAAGUCAUAGCAAUUUCAGCAAAUAGAUGGCAGAUUUUGUACAAGUUAGAAAGAGUGAUCUCACCUAUUACAUAUAUACUAUGUUAUAUGACCAGAUCAAGUCAAAAAAAGAAAAAAUUAGAAAAGGGCUUUUCUUGUUUUCCAAGUAAUUAGCGCAACAAGUCAAGUAGCUCCCUCAUGUCUUCCUAAUCCAAGCAGCAAGGAUGAAGUAUACUGGACUACACAUGCCUCUGGCUCUGAUUGGUUCACUAUUAAAUCAGCCAUGAUGGCAGUGACUAGAACCAAGGGGGACAAGGUGGGUUGGUUUAAACUUGUGUGAGGAAAAGGUGCAUUUCAACGUUACUUUUUCAUUGUUUGGCUAUUAUGCAAAAGGAAGCUGUCCAGAAAAGACAGACUUACGGCUUGGGGAAUUCAUAUGGCUUAUGACCUCUGUGAGCUUUGUAAAGGAGAAGUUGAAACCAUGGAUCACAUAUUUUUUGAUUGCCCAGUAUCAAGCAUAGUAUGGCAAAAGGUGUAAAAUUUUCCCUGUUGAAAUGGAUGUGUGAUCAUUGUAGCUCAAACUCUUUUACGGACCAGGUGAGGAGACUUGUGCUUUUGCAGUUUGCUAGCGUAGUGUAUCAAUUGUGGUGAGCAAGAAACCAAGCUAUUUUUCAGCAAGUUUCGUUAUUUGCUGUCAGCAUUAUUUCUCCUGUCCUUGAUUCUGUGAGAGAUGCAGUUGCAAGCUGGAGACGCAUGCCUUUUAACUACGCAAAACUGGGACUUGGCUGUGGCGCUGGGGCUACAUAAUGUGUGUUUCAGUAGAUAAGUAUUCUGGUUAACAGAUGAUUGUGGCAUCAUUUUGUGUAAUAGUUAUAGUGCUAGCUGCUUACAUAGUUGGAAUGAGUACAUUCCUUUGCGUACACGUUCAUUGCUGAUCAAUAAAGAUUCAGUCUUGCUUACAAAAAAAAAAAAAAGGCUGACCAUAUUUCCAUAAUUGACAGGCUGACAUUCUCUGAAAAAGAAAAAGGGAAACCGAAAGGCAAAAACAUGGCAAAGAAGUAUAGUAGUGGCGGGACAUUUUUGUCAAUAAAGUCAACCCAAAACCUUGCUUGAUCCUUCUUGCAAGGAUCAGAUGGUAACAAUGGGGUCUCAUCCUGCCAUGCCUCACCUAUUUAUUGGAGAAUUGCAAGGGACUCAACUAUCGGUUUUCCAUUGUGAAUCAAAACCGGGACUUUUUGUGAAUGGGGUUCAUCUCAAGGAGAAGAGGGCUUUUGUUGGGCAAUUCUUCUUCUUUUGAGAUCAUACUUGAUAUCCUUCUCAGCCUGUGCUAUAUAUUUUGACCCUCAUGCAGAACAUGCUAGCAUAGGCAUCCAAGAAAACCACUUCUUCACAAUUGUCCUCUAAAUUUGUGGAAGAAAUAAUAUACAUAUAAACAGCAGCAUAUCCAUGAAAUCCUAGUAGUAGUAGUAGUAAACAUCAUUUACUACCAGUCCAGGAUAUCAGGAAGACGACGCUAAGUCUCUUUUAUUCUCACAAGCCAAGCAAACAAAACUAAAGGAUUCUAAGACAGAUCUACGAAGCCCAAAAAAGACAAAGCAAUCCCAAAUACAUAUUCAUGCGUAGACUUUUAUUCGAUCCCCCAUUUAGCCAAAAAAGUUGAAAGAGACUUUAUUCGAUCCCAAGCUUCUUCUUCAAGGACACAACAAAUUCAUAAAUCUUGUGAGGAUCAGCAAGAGACUUGGACACAGUCUCCCUCUGCAUGCAUCUUUUGGCCCAUUCCACCAGCUUUGGACACUCAAUCUUGA